UCCCAUAGCGCAAGCUAGUAAGAUCCCUGAAAGAUGAUCAGGUUGAUAGGUUAGAGGUGGAAGUGUGGCGACACAUGCAGCUGACUAAUACUAAUCGAUCGAGGACUUAACCAAUUU
rnacentral:rRNA from 1 species